rnacentral:antisense_RNA from 1 species
CUUCAACGACCCCAGCCACAGCGGCCGGUCCUCCGAUCGCCCCUGCCCGUACGUCGCCAGCAGCGCCUGCGCCUC